UUGAGUGUACGUUCUAUUUCUGCGAGCGUCUGUGAGAAACCGGCGCCGUGGGAAUUCGGUGACAUGAGACGUCGUUUGUGAUGGGUCCUCGGGAGCCCUACCGGCAUGACCUCGGCUAACUCUUAAUUACCUGCAAAGCCUCCAUUGCCAAAUAACGACACAGUGAGGAUUAGUGCUUCAACAUAUGAAUUUAGGGUGCACAAUAUUAAGUCUGUAACAGAUGCUGGCUUCCUAAAAUGAGCAGUUUCUGUAAGUGAAAAAAAGUAGAUCCCAGUCUGGAAAGUAUUCCUUGCUGAGGCUACCCUUGAUGAGACACCAAUAUCAGGAUUUCAGAAAAGAUACUAAAAGUUGUGGCCAUUUCCUGAAAGCUGCUGAAAUGACUAAGUCCCAGGGCAUGUUGUCAUUCAGUGAUGUGGCUGUAUAUUUCACCUGGGAAGAGUGGCAGCUACUAGACACUGCUCAGAAGAAUCUAUACCGGGAUGUGAUGUUGGAAAAUCAUAGCAAUCUAAUGUCAUUGGGUAAAGACAACUUUCCUAAAUAUCCCAGCCUUAGCUCAUUAAUUGCCUGUCUUUUUCCAUUGCUAUAAUUUAUGGGUACUCUGAUAUUCUCAGUGAUUUUGUACUGGGACUUAAAUAGAACUUAUUUUGUUUAUGAUCAGACAGUGACAGUACUUAAUUUUGUUUCCAAAUGAAAAAUUUUAAUUUUGCUGAGAUUUAAAUUUAUAUAGUCUCUGGGGCCCUGGCUGGUGUGGCUCAGUGGAUUGGGUGCAGGUUUGCAAGCCAGGGGGUCGCUGGUUCAGUUCUCGGUUGGGGUGCAUGACUGGGUUACAGGCCGGGUCCCUGGUGGAGGUGUGUGGGGGACAGCCACAUGCAGAUGUUUCUCUCCCUCUCUUUCUCCCUCCUUUCCCCUCUCUAUAAAAAUA